UAAUAGCGAGAAUGAACAGCCACAAAAGCAGUCAGAGGUGCAAAGCCAGUCUUCAUCCCCUGCAGAUGGAUUGUCCCUCCCUGGCACUGUGCCACCAAACAUGCACUACUUGAUGCCUUCUCAAUUCGGAGAUGCAAAUGCUGGAGCAUCUUUGCACCCUAUGACGUGCAGCCUUACCCUGCACAACCUUAUCCAGCACUGUCAACGGUUCAGCAAGUUGGUGUUCCUCUGCCAUCAGAUACCAUACAAGAACCUGUUUUUGUUAAUGCAAAACAGUAUCAUGGCAUCUUGAGGCGUCGACAAUCUCGUGCAAAAGCUGAAUCAGAAAAUAAACUUCUAAAAGUUAGGAAGAUAUUUUGUACAAAAUGCACUUUGUAUCAUUUUACCUGCAGGGUCAGUUGCUUCAGUAGGCCUGCCAUUUGGCAGCUUAUUGGUUCAACGGCUGAUUUAUAUUUCCCAGUUCAUUAGCCUACCAGCUUUACCAACCUGUAGAACUUCUAUUUGGCCCCUUAUAUUUUGAGGUCAGACAUAAUGGUAACACGUAAAACCCCAACAUUUUAUUUCUAAUGUACUAUAUCGUGAAAAUAAA